GACGAACGCUGGCGGCGUGCUUAACACAUGCAAGUCGAACGGAAAGGCCCUGCUUUUGUGGGGUGCUCGAGUGGCGAACGGGUGAGUAACACGUGAGUAACCUGCCCUUGACUUUGGGAUAACUUCAGGAAACUGGGGCUAAUACCGGAUAGGAGCUCCUGCUGCAUGGUGGGGGUUGGAAAGUUUCGGCGGUUGGGGAUGGACUCGCGGCUUAUCAGCUUGUUGGUGGGGUAGUGGCUUACCAAGGCUUUGACGGGUAGCCGGCCUGAGAGGGUGACCGGCCACAGUGGGACUAAGUUCGGGCCAAGCCCCCGAGGGGAGGCAACAGGGGGAAAUAUGCCAGAGGGGGGGGAGGCCUGAUCCAGCAGCCCCGGGGGGGGAAGGACGGCCUGGGGUUUGAAAACCGCUUUCGCCUGUAACAAAGCGGGAGUGACGUUAAUGGAUAAAAAAGCCCCGGCUACCUACGUG
rnacentral:rRNA from 1 species